CUCUAUCUAUAACUAGAGGCUCUAAAGAGCCUGUGUCGCUCACCUUGGUCUAUGUGAAUAUUAAACAAAGGACGCAGAUGGAUUCAUGACAAAAUUUUGUUUUGGUGAUGGUGAUGUGUUUGUACAUCUUACUUUACUGAACAUUCUUGCUGCUUACAAUUAUCUCUAUCUAUAAUGAACUUGGCCCAGUAGUUUCAGAGGAGAAGAUUAUUGUAAAAGAUUACUAAGAUUUACGAAAAAUGGUUAAAAAUUGACUAUAAAGGGCAAUAACUCCUAAAGGGGGUCAACUGACCAUUUCGGUCAUGUUGACUUAUUUGUAGAUCUUACUUUGCUGACAUUUAUUGCUUUUUACAGUUUAUCUCUAUCUAUAAUAAUAUUCAAGAUAAUAACCAAAAACAGCAAAAUUUCCUUAAAAUUACCAAUUCAGGGGCAGCAACCCAACAACGGGUUGUCCGAUUCAUCUGAAAAUUUCAGGGCAGAUAGAUCUU
rnacentral:lncRNA from 1 species